rnacentral:lncRNA from 1 species
UGAGCGGGGCCGGGGGAGACUGCAUUGAGAGUGGGUGACGGAGCACCAGUUGGGGGAGAUGGCGGACUGGACAGAGGAGAUGGGGCAAGAGUUGGCUUCUUCUUCUUGCUUGGUGCCGGAGCUGGCACGGCAGCCGGAGGAGAAGCGAGUGGUGCUGGUGGUGGAGUGGCUGGCGGUGGUGAGGCUGGAGGAGGAGAUGCUGGGGGUGGGGUGGCCGGGGGAGGUGAAGCUGGUGGUGGGGAAGCCGGAGGUGGAGAUGCAGGUGGUGGGGUGGCCGGUGGGGGAGUUGCUGGUGGUGGACUGGCGGG